rnacentral:rRNA from 1 species
UGCCAGCCGCCGCGGUAAUACGGAGGGGGUUAGCGUUGUUCGGAAUUACUGGGCGUAAAGCGCACGUAGGCGGACUAGUAAGUAAGAGGUGAAAUCCCAGGGCUCAACCCUGGAACUGCCUUUUAAACUGCUAGUCUUGAGUUCGAGAGAGGUGAGUGGAAUUCCGAGUGUAGAGGUGAAAUUCGUAGAUAUUCGGAGGAACACCAGUGGCGAAGGCGGCUCACUGGCUCGAUACCGACGCUGAGGUGCGAAAGUGUGGGGAGCAAACAGGAUUAGAUA